rnacentral:tRNA from 2 species
GGGCCGGUGGCUCAGCCUGGUUAGAGCGUUCGGCUGAUAACCGAAAGGUCGAGAGUUCAAAUCUCUCCCGGCCCACCA